rnacentral:rRNA from 1 species
CCAGCAGCCGCGGUAAUUCCAGCUCCAAAAGCGUAUAUUAAAGUUGUUGCAGUUAAAAAGCUCGUAGUUGGAUUUCUGGGGUCGGGACAUGGUCGCGCCGCAAGGCGUGCACUAUUUUUCGGCCCCUUUUGCUCGAAGGCCUGCGGUUCUCUUCAUUGGGUGCCGUAUGGAAUUCGGGACCUUUACUUUGAAAAAAUUAGAGUGUUCAAAGCAGGCUUACGCUUGAAUAUUACAGCAUGGAAUAAUGAAACAGGACUUUGGUUCUAUUUUGUUGGUUUCUAGGACUGAAGUAAUGAUUAAUAGGGGCGGUUGGGGGCAUUAGUAUUUAAUUGUCAGAGGUGAAA